AGCACUGAUCUGGCCCCACCCUGCUUAGCUUAUGAGAGCUGACUCAUAACCCAUGGCAGGGUUAGCUAAUAGAGCAACUCCACCAUACCCAUAUCGACAGGAACCAUCUGCCCCCGGCGCAGGGACCAGAAGGCCACCAUCCUUUACUCACUAUCUCUGGAUCCUGGUGAGGACAGCAGACAGGACGGCCUGUACUUCCACGGUGGAGCACGUGCACACGACUGGCUUCUUCUGGUCCCGAAGCAGCUCGGCCACAUACUGGCAAGGAGAGGAGGAAAGGUGAGCUCAGCAUGCCCAUGUGUAUGGGAGCAAAGCGAUCUGUUACAACACCUGCCACGAAUACUUCUCCUCUGUGCUUAGCAACCAGAGUCCCUGGGGACAGUGUCUCUGAGCAAAGCAGGAGGCAGAUGGGGCAGGUUUCCAUUGGGAAUGUACGGGCAUGUGAACACACCAGGAAGUGUGGACUGAAUGGACUGAAGAGUUGCCUGGUCCAACAGGAGCUGCUAGAAAAGCCCCCAAUGCAAUGCUGGCAAAAGUAAUGGAGCGAAGGAACAAGACAAGACAUCACUUGCCGUCAUCUAUGGCUUUAUUAAGAAUUAUGCCAACUGUCUUCCCAGAAAAAAAAUCCUCCUGAACUUGCAGUAAUGGCAGCUGAUCACCCGUUUAGAAAGCAAAGCCAUUUUUGAUAUCUACAGAUCAUUAGCAUAGUUGUUUUGCAUAGUGUUGCUAACUCAGGAUUUCAUCAUGCUAUUCAAUGUUCUGGAGUCACAUUAGUUUGUGACAAUUUUGGCUUUCAAAAAGCAAAGCUUCAUGGUUAUGGCAAAAAGCUUGGAAAAUGCGACACCCUAAAGCAGUAUUUCCCGAACGGUGGGCCCUGACCUACCAAGUUACAGGAAGGUUCUAGAUGGGCUGCCUUAGGCAAACAUACAUUUGUCCCAGCCUGGUAAAGUGCAGGGGCUUAGAGAGCACAUCCACCCUGUAUUCACCCUGUAGCAGUGGUUUCUCCAGGCUCCUGGCUCUGGGCAUUAUGACCUGUACACAAGAUUGCAGUGUCACUCAGGCCAAACCUAGUGGUGCUGUGAUCCCAUGCACCAGGUCAUAAUGCCCAGGGCGAAAGGCUGGACCCAGCAUUGUGGGAAAGGAGCCACUGCUGUGGGGUAAACUCACUUUCCAACCCCACCGGAGGCAGGGUGUGUGUGUGAUGCGGGGUCAUGUGCCCACUCAGAUUUGCUGCUUGGCUUGUACUGAACAUACUCAAUGACACCACUGACGCCGGCUGCCCUCACUCUGCCCCCCCACUAUUGGCAGGCCUGGGUCAUCUCUGAACCCCACCAUAUCCCCGACAUCCCUUCCACAUCAGGCCGGAGUUAAAAUUGCAGUGCCAGAGCGGAGGGUGCAUAUAUGUAAUAGCAUGUUGCAAAAAAUGACAAAAUGCAGUUGGUGGGUUGCCUUAGUACUGUUUGGGAGCCAGUGCCCUAAGAGAGCCUACCAUGUAUUUUAAAAAACCUCAGGAGUUUGGAGAGCCUGAAUCAUGAUCUUUGAAUGCUUGGUAUUGGCAGCAGUGUGUGGAAGAGCACUGAGGCCCCAGUCUAGGAGCCUAGGUGCUGCACAAUCACACAGAAAGACAAUCACUACUCAAAAAGUCAAAUGCGCAGAAGUCCAAUGCCUGGGUAUGGCAAGAAACAGGCACACCGAAUGCAGACUGCAAGCGGCAUGUGACUGACAACCAAGGCAGAUGUACAAGAAGGACCAUGAACAAAACAGACACCAUUUUAAACUUGCUCCCCAGAUCUGAAGGCAGCCUGUUGGAAUGAAAGGGAGAGGGUUAUUACAGGUUGGGGGUGGGGUCAACAAGCCAUUAAAUCCAUAAUUUUGUACGGAUCAUGAACAAAAACAGAGAUUCAAUUUACUUUGCAAUUCCCUUUCAUUAAGCAGCAUUUAAUCACAUGUGAAGAAGAUACCCAGGACCCCACAUAGAAGCCUCAUCAGCUAAUGAGGAGACUCACUAUUCACAGAUCCUUUUUGCUUUGGAGGCCUAUAAGGCAGCACCCAUACAAACUAAUGCUAGUAGCAAUAGCUUCACAUAUCCACCACUGGAAUGGAAUUUAAUUAACUCUUAGCUUCCAGUCCCAUUUUAAACAACUCCAGAAAUCUGCACCACCAGUUUGCGUGGCUCUCUCUCUGCUCUGCUUGGUGGUUUGCUAUUUUUCAGAUCUAGGGGAAAGUGAACUAGCAACUGUGAAUGCUUAUGGAAGUGCCACAGAGACACCCUGAUUGGUUCUUUAGUAUUAUUUAUUGGUACUGUGGUUGUGUCCAGGCAGCCCAGUCAUGGACCAGGACCCCACUGUGCUAGGCACUGUACAAACAAAACAAAGACAGACCCUGACCUAAAGAGCUUACAGCUACUCUGUACAUAAGAAAUAUCUUUAUUGUACUAUCAGAUGUAGUCAGGUUUGGUUUGUGGUUGCAGUUAAAGCAAUAUGACAACAGACAAAGAUCUAAAAAGAUCCAAUGGCUGGAAGAAGCAGCUAUUCAAGUUCAAACUACAAACAAGGUGCAAAUUUUUAACGUUAAACUUCCCAAGGGCUGUUGUGGAUUCUCCGUCACUGGCAAUUUUUAAAUCAAGACUGGAUGUUUUUCUGAAAGAUCUGCUCUAGUUCAAAGAAGAAUUAAUUCAGUGAAGUUCUAUGGCCUGUUUUUACACAGGAGGUCAGACUAGAUGAUCACAUCUCUUAUUUAUUUAUAAACUAGGACUAUAUGACAUACACAGAGACGGUGAAUUUAGUUCUAGUAUAGCCUGUGUGGGUGAAGCUGAACUAAUCAGCUUUGUACAUCUUUAAUUUCUCUGAAAAUCAAUUCUGUAGACUUAAAAAAUUCUUUAAGAACUACACCUUAGAGGUACAUGUAAUAACAGCCUUAUAUUUAUAUUGCUCCAGAUACAGAUACAGAUACAAGGUCUUCAUGAAACAGGAAUCUGUUCAACUCUGAAAAGCAGCCAAUUCUGGGGUGGAACAUGGCAGCUGUUUAAUAGUUCAGAGCAACACUAUGCAACAGUUUUUAGGCCAGGGAUAUCACGCACAAUUCAACUGCAGGAUAAAUCAGGGCAAGUAGAACAUAUUCCCUGAAUUUGUCCAGGACAGCACAGCUAAUGCUGUAAUGCUCUAGUAUCAUGCCAGCCUCCCAAUUUCCCAGUAAAGUUUUACUCAAGCGUUAACUACCUAGAGGGCUGGCAGUUUCAUGGUUUCUCUAGCACAGUGGAGGGAGGCAAAUCUCCACCCCUAAAGCCAGGGGAACCAUGUUGGAAGUCUGUUUGCAAUGUGAGCAUUUAAAUACAUAGCUACAGUUGGCACUCCAGGGUGGGUAAGAUACCUGCAGCCUUUGCAAGUGUUUAAAAGACCAGUCUUUGCUUUUUUAUAAAACAGAGGCAGCUUGAAUGAACCAUCUCUUCACCUGCCAGCCAAUCUGCCUUGCCCGCAACCAACGUCUCAGUGCUGGGAGGAAUCAGAGGAAGUGCUGCUCGCCUUGACAACAGGAAGUCUGCCCUCUACCACUCCCAUAGAAGAAAGGCUGUAUGAAUUCUUUGUCAAUUUCCUAUUUACCCGUCACAGCAACCUCUCCUCCCUACCUAUAGCUUUCAUGGGGAAAGCCUGCAAAGCCAAAGAACUCUCCAAGGAAAAAAGCUUUCCUGGGCAACAUGAAUUAACUUGAUCAAAACCCCUUUCACCUAAAGUAGUAGCAUUGCAUAAGAGACUUCAGGAGUAUAAAGUUUUAUACUGAAUAGACUGGAGUGGGAGGGGUGUGAUAGACACACUUGGGCUUUGUCUAAGGUUAAAGCAGGCAUCAGAUUCAGGCUAACCCUGACAAGCAUUUAACAAAGAGGAAAAUGUUAUUUUUUAAGACUACUGAAGGAAGCUUUUAUAUAAAAGGAAAAUUACAGUCCAAUUAUCUUGUAAAACUUCAAACUGUUAAGAGGGUGGUCACAGGAAUGAGCUCUUGAACAGAAGCAAUUUUAAUAGCUGCAUUAACUCUAGCAGCCAGAGGAAAGAGCUCGCAAGAGAGUAUUUGCUAGAAGCAAGAUUCACAUCCUCGGGACCUUGGGGUGCACCGAGGCUCUUUAUUUGGAAUAAUUCUCCUCCUCCAAAUAUCUAAAGCUGCUUUCUCUAGCAGACGCCUGUCCUCACUGGCUAUAAGGUUCUUUUACAUUUCCAACUACUCACAGUAAAUCAUACUGGAUUUUUGCAGAAUGAAAAUACAUUGAGAAAUGGAAAGUGGAUGCCAAACCUGUGUGUGUGUGAGUGUGAGUGAGAGAGAGAGAGAGAGAGAGAGAGAGAUUAUAUAACUGAUUUACUACUCCCCUUGUAGCCACGAAAUGUAUAUCAGUACUCUCCAGUUCAGCUCAAAGUCUCAUCACUGGGAUUCUGAGUUGACAAAUGUUCCCAAUCUAUUAUUUUUCAAAGCAUGCAUCCUUUCACAUGUCAAUGUCAGAAAUACGGAAUGGAGCCAGUGAUCAAUACUGGGCUGGGAGAAAUCCUUCUCAGGAUGCAGAAUUAUUUUCCAAUCACUGGAAGUGGGACCAGGAGCUGGGUCUGCUCAUUCACCUUGCUCAAAGACAGACUUCAGUCUUUGUAUUUGGGGUAUUUUGUGCAGAUCAACUAAUGCAGUGGUUUUCAACCUGCGGUCCGUGGAUCCUUGGGGGUCUGCAGACUAUGUCUAAGAUUUCCAAAGGGGUCUGCACCUCCAUUUGAAUUUUUUUUAGGGGUCUCCAAAUGAAAAAAAAGGUUGAAAGCCACUGACUAAUGUUUCCCUUCCAAAACCAGGAAAGGAGAAUACAAUCAGAAAUCCCCUGGCUGGCUUGACAGGACUGAUAGCCCAGCACUGUGCAGCCGGGCAAUUGUUCACGUGAGACUUUUUGUAGCAAGAACCAUAAGGUACCUGAUCAAUAACCACUGUGAAGUGAAGGCAUCAUUCACAGAACAGACACAGCAAAGGUAGUACCUGCCACACAUAUCACCUACCCCUACCACUAGUCUACAGGAAGCAGAUCGGAGUUCAGCCUUUGGCUCCUCUAACUAACCUGCGCCAAUUAGCACCAAAUAUGUCUGCAUUCCAAAGCUGCCAUUCUCCCUGUUCAGAACCCCACCAGCUCAUUCUACUCUGCCCACUGAACAGGGUAUAGGCCUGCUUGCACGUUUUCCAUUGGCAGGAUCCUCUCUGUUAGGGCUGUGAUUAUUUACCCAUCUAUGUACAGCAGUACAGCCCCUAGUGCGGAUGCAGUGACACCGGGAUCAAAGUGCCUUAUACCCACACAGUUUAAUUCCCCUUCCCAUACAGGAAAACACACACCCCUGAGUGACAUAAGUUUCGCCAGCAUCAAUGAUAGCGUGCACAGUGCUAUGUCAGCAGGAGAGCUUCUCCCGCCAA